CGUGCGUAACACAUGCGAGUCGAGCGGUAAGGCCCUUCGGGGUACACGAGCGGCGAACGGGUGAGUAACACGUGGGUGAUCUGCCCUGCACUUCGGGAUAAGCCUGGGAAACUGGGUCUAAUACCGGAUAUGACCUCCGAUCGCAUGGUUGGUGGUGGAAAGAUUUAUCGGUGCAGGAUGGGCCCGCGGCCUAUCAGCUUGUUGGUGGGGUAAUGGCCUACCAAGGCGACGACGGGUAGCCGACCUGAGAGGGUGACCGGCCACACUGGGACUGAGACACGGCCCAGACUCCUACGGGAGGCAGCAGUGGGGAAUAUUGCACAAUGGGCGAAAGCCUGAUGCAGCGACGCCGCGUGAGGGACGACGGCCUUCGGGUUGUAAACCUCUUUCAGCAGGGACGAAGCGCAAGUGACGGUACCUGCAGAAGAAGCACCGGCUAACUACGU
rnacentral:rRNA from 1 species